ensembl:rRNA 5S_rRNA 5S ribosomal RNA
GUCUAUGGCCAUACCACCCUGAAUGUGCCCGAUCUUGUCUGAAGUUGGGAGCAGGCCAGGCUGGUCUAGGGUAGAGUACUCGCAGCAAUACCCAAGAGGCAGUGGGGU